AUCAUUACAGAGUAAAUCUGAGAAGAUUACAGCUAAAGCCACUCUGGGAUUUGAUGAAGACCGAUUUGAAGCACUGGAAUUGAGAUCGAUGGAAUCAGUGGAGGUGAUGAUUAUCAAACUGGCAGUGGAGAAAUCAUUGCCCGUCAUCAUCGGAGGCUCCAUUGGAGGCUUUCUAUUUCUAGCGAUAAUCAUUGUCGUACUCGUUAAGUGUGGCUUUUUCAAACGACGCCAUCAAAAGGAUAUAGCAAUGGAUGCUGAGUGAUGCUCUGUCACUGGUAAGAUUAGUGCUAAAUGCUAAAUUAGCCUUUUGAAAGCUGGAGCCUUGUGUAACUUGGGGAAUUUUCCAACUGCACGCUGGAUCUGCAUGGUGUUCCACUGAACUUUAGCCUUAGCAGCCAAAAUGCACAUAAGAAAUUUGCAUUGUUGAGUGAUUUAAUGAGAACUUUGAAAUAUGAUAAAGCCAUGUGAUCCAAGAGACGCUUUGUUUUGAGUAUUUUUUUGUAUUUUUUUAGUAUUGUACAUUCAUACAUAUUCAGAUAAUUUACUGUGAUGACUGUGUUUUAAAAUAUUUUAUAUGGUACGGUUUUAUACAAAAUAUUACUCAAUUAGAAUAUAGCACACUUUUUAAAAGUGACUCAUGUUUGUAUUAUGAGAACUUUGAAAUAUGACAAAGCCACAUGAUUGAUGAGCCACUUUGUUUUGAAUUUGUUCAUUAUUUUGUUACGUAUUGCAUAUUUCUACAUAUGGAGAUAAUUGACUUACACUGUGAUGUCUGUGUUUUUAAAGUAUUCUAUACGGUAAGGUUUCCUAUAAAAUAUUACUCAUAUUUCUACUAUACAUUUAUGUUUACCUUGGUGUAAAUUGCCUCAACGUUUUUGUUUUAAAAUGUUUGCUCUAAAGAACUAAAUACAAAGAUUAAAUUAAAAAUAUUAU